GUUUGGAUUGGUCAAUGAGUCCGCUUAGGUUAUUGGUCAAUUUUGCAGUACUUCUGCGAUGCUUUUUGGAGUGGAAUUGGUUUGACGUUGUGCGUCGGCGGCUGCCGUUGGCCGCUGUCGCUGAGGGUGGACAAGUGGAAUACAGCCUUAAGGCGGGAAAGCCAUCCAUUCCGAAUAACGGCAGUUAUCUGCCAGCCAACGUUUUCCUUAAAAAGAUAAUUGGAUCCAAAAUCUUAUUAGACUCUUUGGAGUGAUUGCGGUGGAACUUUUUUUUUAUAUACUCCCCUUUCCUAUGGGAGUUAGGUGGAAACUUCGUCCCCCGAAGACUGAAUUUGAAGACGAGGCGGUCCAGAUUCGUAUAGGGUCCACCGCAGGCUCCCAGUGACCGUCUAAGCAGUUCCGAUUCCGUAAAGGAGCCCACAGAUGGGCCCCAGUGACGUACCUCGGAAUCAUCAGUGCCAGAUGACUCCUUUAAGAGCUUUUUACUCCACGCGGAGUUAGACGGUGGGCGUAUUCUAACCCCUUACCCAGGAGGAGUCAGUGGAACUUAAAUCCGAGUUCCGGUUAAAUACGCACCAUCCGAUGGAAGCAUUACGCGCUACAGAAUCGUCAAAUUAGCAUUUCAUACAUAAGCUAUAUAAUUUAUCAGUCACGCUCUGUAUCUCUCCAAUGCUUUUUUUUUUAUACGAGACACGAGGCGGCAAAAUAAUUUUUUCCUUAUAAUCGUUUCAAUCUAAUAGUUUCCGUUUUACUUCCCGACACCAAAAAAAACUGCCGACGAAACGGAAAAAGCCAGACAAAAAUUUGUCGAAACAUCAAUGGUAUAGAUAUAAAACUAGUAAAAGCAAAAUUUCACUUUAUAAAUUGUUCAUAUACGAAAAUUACGUCAAUUGUUGUUGGCCAUGGGCAGCCACGCCUGGUAAACUCCGAGUUUUCUAGGCGGAAAUACCGGAUAUUUUU
rnacentral:lncRNA from 1 species